rnacentral:lncRNA from 1 species
GCCCACCCCGUUAACCUGAAUUCCGUGUCGGGGGGAGGGGGGGGUCGGGCAGCGCUUUGUGGAGCAGCGAAGAGAGCCCAGCGGCGGCCGCCAACAGCGGAGCUCUGCGUGCGGCCGUGUGACAAAACCGCGCUGUCCUCAGCCGGGGGGGGGUCCUGCAUUCGGGAGCUGCAAAGGUGUGCGUUUGGGGGUGGGGGGAAGUGGAGGAGACGGGCUGCUUAUCCAGGUGAAACAGCAGCGAGGCGAGCACCUGCGUCUUUUUUUUUUUCUACAAGGCGUGCACCGAUAAUUGCAGCAGUUAAUUGCGUUUCUUUGAAGGUCAUUGGAAGUUACGGGGCUGUGUUUUCUUUCCCGGCUGGCAGACAAUGGCUGAGCGCUGUUUUAAAUGUAAAUCAGAGGGUAUCCGCAGAAACCUGUGCUGUCGGAUCGCGGCGUAAUGGAUUCACUCCGGCUGCGCCUCGCUCGCCACAAUACAGCGCAGCGCCGGGCCGGGAGCGCGCCGGGGUUCCUCUGCGGAAGCGCAGUUGCCGACGAACAUGGAAAGCAUUAAAUCGUGACGGGGGAGGGGGGGCGGCGCGGCAUCGCGCUGCUGCUCGGGACCGUAGCGCAGCCACGCAGCCCCCGCACCGGGACGUCGGGCACCGCGAGCCAGGGCCGCCGGCGGGGGGGACACCCCGCAGGGAGGGGGGACACCCCGCCGCGGGCCGUGCCUCGUGCCGCCCGGGUCGCGUCCUCACUCCCGGGGACGGCGGAGAGGGGCCGGGGCCGAAAGGUGCCGUCUGGCUGCGGGCCCCCUCUCCGGGGGAGGCGUUCUGCAGGAAUGCGGCGAGCGAGCCCGGCCCCGCUGCCCCCAAGCCCUCGUUAACCCCGGGGCCCCCGCGGCCCCCGCUCGGCACCUGCACGCGGCUCCGCCGGAGGCGAGGACGUGCAGCAGCGCGGAGCCUGCAGCGAGCGCGCGGCCCUCCCCCUUCGCCUCUCCCCGCUAAUAACAGGGCAGCGCUCGGGAGGCGGUGGUUGCGCCGCACGAACAAACGCUCCGUGAUUACCACAGCGCGCCCCGGGCUGCGGAGGGACACGGGGAGCCGAGCCGAGCCGAGCCGUGCCGUGCCGAGCCGCUCAGACGGGAGGCUUCGCGGUCGCCCCCGGGGGCCCGCUCCGCGCCCUCGCAGGGGCCGGGGCCGCCCGCGGGGCCGCGCUCGGUGCCUUCCCCGCGGCGCCGGGCCACCCCUGCGCAGAUGGCACCGUGUGACCCCCAUUAGGGCAGCGCAGCCGCCUCUCCAGCAAAGCAGUCAGCCCGGUACCGCCGCUUCCCCCGUUGUCCACGGCAACCGACGUAUCUGA